GACGAACGCUGGCGGCGUGCUUAACACAUGCAAGUCGAACGGAAAGGCCCUGCUUUUGUGGGGUGCUCGAGUGGCGAACGGGUGAGUAACAAGUGAGUAACCUGCCCUUGACUUUGGGAUAACUUCAGGAAACUGGGGCUAAUACCGGAUAGGAGCUCCUGCUGCAUGGUGGGGGUUGGAAAGUUUCGGCGGUUGGGGAUGGACUCGCGGCUUAUCAGCUUGUUGGUGGGGUAGUGGCUUACCAAGGCUUUGACGGGUAGCCGGCCUGAGAGGGUGACCGGCCACAUUGGGACUGAGAUACGGCCCAGACUCCUACGGGAGGCAGCAGUGGGGAAUAUUGCACAAUGGGCGGAAGCCUGAUGCAGCAACGCCGCGUGCGGGAUGAAGUCCUUCGGGUUGUAAACCGCUUUCGCCUGUGACGAAGCGUGAGUGACGGUAAUGGGUAAAGAAGCACCGGCUAACUACGUG
rnacentral:rRNA from 1 species